rnacentral:rRNA from 1 species
UGUAAGCGUAUACCAAAGUUGUUGCAGUUAAAACGCUCGUAGUCGGAAUUUGGCAGUUCCGGAUGUGUGCACGUCGUGUGCGCACUUCGCGGGGAUUGCUUUUGUGGUCUUGCGUAGGAUGAGGCACUUUUAUUAGUGAACGUCCUCACGCAACCACUUUUUACUGUGAGAAAAUCAGAGUGCUCAAAGCAGGCAUUUGCCGUGAAUGUAUUAGCAUGGAAUAAUAGAAUAGGACUUGGUUCUAUUUUGCUGGUUUGUUGGGACUGAGUAAUGAUUAAGAGGGACAGUUGGGGGCAUUUGUAUUUCGGUGCUAGAGGUGAAAUUCUUAGAUUACCGAAAGACAAACUGCUGCGAAAGCGUCUGCCAAGGAUGUUUUCAUUGA